rnacentral:rRNA from 1 species
UACGGAGGGAGCUAGCGUUGUUCGGAAUUACUGGGCGUAAAGCGCGCGUAGGCGGCUUUGUAAGUUAGAGGUGAAAGCCCAGGGCUCAACCCUGGAAUUGCCUUUAAGACUGCAUCGCUUGAACAUCGGAGAGGUAAGUGGAAUUCCGAGUGUAGAGGUGAAAUUCGUAGAUAUUCGGAAGAACACCAGUGGCGAAGGCGACUUACUGGACGAUUGUUGACGCUGAGGUGCGAAAGCGUGGGGAGCAAACAGG